GACUCCUGGGCUGCUAUUUAAGCUGAGGGCUCAGAAGGCGUCUUGGCUGGAUCAUUGAGUCAUACUUCAUGGCGUGGAGUGGAGUGGGUGAGAGUGCUGAAGACAAAUGAGAGAGGAGCGAACGAGCGGAGCAUUUGGUCUGGUCUGCGCCUGAGUCGGUCUCUGCCUGCGGGACAUUUCCCAGGACUCCUGAUAUGUGCUCUUAUCAUUUAUUCCUGAUGCUCAAAUACCAUCCUGGACUCAACAUAUGUGGCUGUGUCUCUGUCUUUGCUAUAGAUAUAUGUUAAUGUGCAAAAUAAGGUUAAAAAAAUGAAGAAAUAAAUGCCCUCUGUUACAUUUCAUAGAAACCUUCAUUGUGGAAUGAUUAAAAGCAUAAGAAAAAAAAUAACAAUGUUAAAAUAAAAUAAAAAUAUGAACACAAUGAGAGUUAAAAGAGGUUUUGAUUCAAGAAUAAGAAUAGAAAAAUGAACACAUGGUUCCCUGCUGAA